rnacentral:rRNA from 1 species
UACAGAGGUCUCAAGCGUUGUUCGGAUUCAUUGGGCGUAAAGGGCGCGUAGGCGGAUAUUUAAGUCGGGGGUGAAAGCCCAGGGCUCAACCCUGGAAUUGCCUUCGAUACUGGAUAUCUUGAGUCCGGGAGAGGUGAGUGGAACUGCGAGUGUAGAGGUGAAAUUCGUAGAUAUUCGCAAGAACACCAGUGGCGAAGGCGGCUCACUGGCCCGGUACUGACGCUGAGGCACGAAAGCGUGGGGAGCGAACAGG